rnacentral:rRNA from 1 species
UGUGUAGGCGGCUAGGUAAGUCGGAUGUGAAAGCCCCGGGCUCAACCCGGGAAGUGCACUCGAUACUGCUUAGCUCGAGUACCGGAGAGGUUGGUGGAAUUCUCGGUGUAGAGGUGAAAUUCGUAGAUAUCGAGAGGAACACCGGUGGCGAAGGCGGCCAACUGGACGAGUACUGACGCUGAGACACGAAAGCGUGGGGAGCAAACAGGAUUAGAUACCCUGGUAGUCCACGCCGUAAACGAUGGGUGCUAGGUGUCACGGGCUUUGACUCCUGUGGUGCCGCAGCAAACGCAUUAAGCACCCCGCCUGGGAAGUACGGCCGCAAGGCUAAA